GAUGAACGCUGGCGGCGUGCCUAAUACAUGCAAGUCGAGCGAACGGACGAGAAGCUUGCUUCUCUGAUGUUAGCGGCGGACGGGUGAGUAACACGUGGAUAACCUACCUAUAAGACUGGGAUAACUUCGGGAAACCGGAGCUAAUACCGGAUAAUAUUUUGAACCGCAUGGUCCAAAAGUGAAAGACGGUCUUGCUGCCACUUAUAGAUGGAUCCGCGCUGCAUUAGCUAGUUGGUAAGGUAACGGCUUACCAAGGCAACGAUGCAUAGCCGACCUGAGAGGGUGAUCGGCCACACUGGAACUGAGACACGGUCCAGACUCCUACGGGAGGCAGCAGUAGGGAAUCUUCCGCAAUGGGCGAAAGCCUGACGGAGCAACGCCGCGUGAGUGAUGAAGGUCUUCGGAUCGUAAAACUCUGUUAUUAGGGAAGAACAUAUGUGUAAGUAACUGUGCACAUCUUGACGGUACCUAAUCAGAAAGCCACGGCUAACUACGUG
rnacentral:rRNA from 1 species